rnacentral:rRNA from 1 species
GACGAACGCUGGCGGCGUGCCUAAUACAUGCAAGUAGAACGCUGAAGGAGGAGCUUGCUUCUCUGGAUGAGUUGCGAACGGGUGAGUAACGCGUAGGUAACCUGCCUGGUAGCGGGGGAUAACUAUUGGAAACGAUAGCUAAUACCGCAUAAUAUUGACUAUUGCAUGAUAGUCAGUUGAAAGGUGCAACUGCACCACUACCGGAUGGACCUGCGUUGUAUUAGCUAGUUGGUGGGGUAACGGCUCACCAAGGCGACGAUACAUAGCCGACCUGAGAGGGUGAUCGGCCACACUGGGACUGAGACACGGCCCAGACUCCUACGGGAGGCAGCAGUAGGGAAUCUUCGGCAAUGGACGGAAGUCUGACCGAGCAACGCCGCGUGAGUGAAGAAGGUUUUCGGAUCGUAAAGCUCUGUUGUAAGAGAAGAACGAGUGUGAGAGUGGAAAGCUCACACUGUGACGGUAUCUUACUAGAAAGGGACGGCUAACUACGUG